AAGUCGAGCGGCAAGGGGCAGCAAUGCCUCCUAGAGCGGCGGACUGGUGAGUAACGCGUGGGUGACCUGGCCUGAGGAUGGGGAUAGCCAUUAGAAAUAGUGGGUAAUACCGAAUAUGGUUGUUUUGCUGUGGCGAAACAAAGAAAGGAGCAUUGGCUCCGCCUGAGGAUGGGCCCGCGUCCCAUUAGGUAGUUGGUGAGGUAAAGGCCCACCAAGCCCGAGAUGGGUAGCCGGCCUGAGAGGGUGAACGGCCACACUGGGACUGAGAUACGGCCCAGACUCCUACGGGAGGCAGCAGCUAAGAAUAUUCCGCAAUGGGCGAAAGCCUGACGGAGCGACGCCGCGUGGAUGAGGAAGGCCGAAAGGUUGUAAAGUCCAUUUUUUGCGGAAGAAUAAGCGAGGGAGGGAAUGCCCGCGUGAUGACGUGAAGCAAAGAAUAAGCCCCGGCUAAUUACGUGCCAGCAGCCGCGGUAACACGUAAGGGGCGAGCGUUGUUCGGAAUUAUUGGGCGUAAAGGGCGCGUAGGCGGUUGUGGAAGUCUGAUGUGAAAGGCAGGAGCUUAACUUCUGGACUGCAUUGGAAACUGGACGACUAGAGUCAUGGAGGGGGAGUUGGAAUUCCUAGUGUAGGGGUGAAAUCUGUAGAUAUUAGGAAGAACACCGGUGGCGAAGGCGAACUUCUAGCCAAUGACUGACGCUGAGGCGCGAAA
rnacentral:rRNA from 1 species